CCGGGACAAAGAAUUUGGACUGCGAACACACCACGGGGAUUUCGGACACUCGUGCACGUUGUCGUCAUUUCUGUGAUCGGCCGGCGGAUGCACUAAGGCUUUACCCCCACAAAUUUGACUGGAGCAUACGGAUGUACAACUGAUAUAAGAAGUACUGGGCUUUACAUCACAAGUGGGCGACGGUUUAACAUCAGGCGGAAUCACCGGAUCAAAAUGAUGCGCCCUAAUGAUAUCGGUCAUUGAGUGCAUCUUUCGCGGAAACCAUACCGGUGAAUUCGGACGCUGACGGAAUAACCUCCACGUC